rnacentral:rRNA from 1 species
GAUGAACGCUGGCGGCGUGCCUAAUACAUGCAAGUCGAGCGAACGGACGAGAAGCUUGCUUCUCUGAUGUUAGCCGCGGACGGGUGUGUCACACGUGGAUCAUCUACCUAUAAGACUGGGAUCACUUCGGGAAACCGGCGCUAAUACCGUAUAAUAUUUUGCACCGCAUGGUUCAAUAGUGAAAGUCGGUCUUGCUGUCACUUCUCGAUGGAUAUGCGCUGCAUUAGCUAGUUGGUAAGGUAACGGCUUACCAAGGCAACGAUGCGUAGCCGACCUGAGAGGGUGAUCGGCCACACUGGAGCUGGAACAGGGUCCAGGCGCCUGAGAUAGGCAGCAGUAGGGAAUCGGCCGCAGUAGUCGGGAGCCUGGCAGAGCAACGCGGCGUGAGUGAUAGAGAUCUUCGGAGCGUAAAACUCUGUUAUUAGGUAAGAACAUAUGUGUAAGUAACUGUGCACAUCUUGACGGUACCUAGUCAGAAAGCCACGGCUAACUACGUG